rnacentral:ribozyme from 1 species
ACUCGUGCCAGCGAGUUUAAAUAGACCAAUAGGCUGGCAGCGUUCCACUCAUAAAGAGUGGAGGAGGUA